UGAUGGACUCAAAUUUCAAGUUCCUUACCUUAAUUGUGUUUGAUCAACAACCAUUCAGCCCGAAGGUGGUUGGGCGUGUCUGCUUCAUGGACAUUGAAGCCAAAAUGCUUCCCACUCACAUGGAGUCGCAUUGGCCAAAUGUAAGAUUACAAGAGCCCUUGACAGAAUCCCAGCGACGAGAGUUUCAAUUUGGGUGUGUCACUCGAGAUGGUGAGCAUUAUGAACACAAUAACAAUCAUAAUCAUAAUGGCCAUCUCCAAGCGUCUCCGCUCUCCAUUUCCUUAACUAGCAGGAUCACGUUAUUCAUGCCAUUGUGAUUCGUAGAGCGUGAAAAAUUGAAGAUUUUGCCUGCUGCCAUGACACCCGCCUCUGUUCGUCCGCUGUACACACCUUUAAAUGGAUGCCUUUUUCCAGCCAUAUUUCAAUGUGAAUCUGUGGUUUUGGCUUUUAUUCUGUCAAGCGCUAAUUGAUCUUCAGGGAGAUGGUGACAACGGUGAGAAACUUGGUUGUGGUCAAUUUGAAGUUUCAAUUAAAAUCCAAGCAUCACGAGAUCCUCUUGUUAUGGUCAGACUGAAUUAUGCGGCCUGUACACACGUCGUCUGUCUCUGCCUCUCGUUUAAAUAGGGCGCCAUUACCGUUGUCGCUUCGGCAUGCAAAUCAGGGCUGCCACCCACCGUUCCAAAGAAGUGCCAGAGCCGAAGCGUUGCGUGCCACAGCAAGGAGAAAACACUUCAUUUUCUCUCCAUUGAAUUCACUUUCACAUUUCAUCAUAUUGUUCAUUAGCUCUUGGGUGAGAGAUGCCUUGGUAUUUGAGCAGUGCAGCACUCGGGCUCUAUGGUAUGAUGUAUCUACAUACUGUAUACAAUGUGCUGUACAAAGGUGAUCGGUGCUCAAUAAGACGCUUUUCAUUCGGAUCUCCCCCUCUCUCUUUUUCUCCAUGAGACGAAGGCAUAUCUCUCGGUACUAGAGUCGUACUCGGUACCUCUCUCCUCAGAGGCUUUGAUACGUAUUUGAUUACGGACACCUUGCAACGCAAGACUCCUAGCGGGUCUGAAAUGAGAGAGAGUCCAUUGUCGUCCAAAACCUGCAUUGGACGCUUUCAAACUACUCAGAACAACUUGUUCAUACACACAUAUGCUUUGUUGUAGAGAUACUCAAUAAGUUAUUAGUUGUUAUACAAGACUCCUGUCCAGGUUUUGAAGUCCCUGGCUCUCGAGCAUUCUAGGGAGACAAAGUGCUCCAUCAAAUAUCGCACUAGAGCCUGUCACGAAAGUCAUUAAGAGCAAAAACAAGCAGUCCUGAAGAUUCAUCCGCUCACAAAAAAGCUCAUUGAACUCCGCCUGAGCGUCUUGUGAAUCCGUUUGAUCCCAGCCCAACUCCACCUAUUUUCCACCUACCAUGAAUCUAAUCCAAUACAGUUCAUGAGGCCUCCACCACUCCCCUAACCCAUCCAGUCAUCAUCUCGAGGAGAAAUUGAAAAGAAUAAAUCAAAAUCAGACUGCACCACGAUCCGGAUGAACAUUUUCAUUUUGCAGCUCAGAGGCUCGCACUGCAUCACGUCUUGAUGAAGGCUUUGUUUUGCCGGCCAAAUUUGAAAAGCCUCUCUUUCCCGCGCCGUCUUCUGUUGUUGAAGCAGGGUGUCAAUCUUGGCUAAACACCAUAAAUACAAAGCGGUCUUGCCUGGUCCAGAAUUCACGCUGACUUUGUAAUUGCCUCCGCAAUCUUUUGGUCGUCAUGGAAAGGGCCAGAGACGAGGAGGAAGAAGAAGAAGACGUCUUUAUAUAAUUUAUUCAUCGAGUAUUUUCACACCGCAGGAUCCUGACAUCAAGCAUAAGUUGAGCAUGAAAAGGCACCACCGUUCAUCGAGUUCCAUGCACUCUCUGUGAUCCCAGUCCACUUGAUUUUGAGUCUUCCACGAAUCGGCAAUGAAUACAAAAAAAGUGAGUGGCCUCAUCCAUAAUUUACCGUGGAGCUCAAGAUACCGGAUCACGAGCAAUUAAUUCUCAUCUUAAUUGACUUCGAUGUGAGACAGAGGACAUGCGCAAUAAAUCUAAGGCCAGCAAGGAACUGCGACAGGCCGCAAUGGGGUGUGAACCCGAGAUGAAUCAUU